UAUAUUUUGGUGUAUGAAGCAUGAAAGAUUUUGAUUCUUUUGGAGAUAGUUUAAUUCUAUUAAAUAUAA
rnacentral:tRNA from 1 species